rnacentral:tRNA from 1 species
GGACAGAUGACCGAGCGGUUUAAGGUACCGGUCUUGAAAACCGGCAAAGGAGGAAUCCUUUCGUGAGUUCGAAUCUCACUCUGUCCGCCA